AGAGUUUGAUCAUGGCUCAGAAUGAACGCUGGCGGCAGGCCUAACACAUGCAAGUCGAACGGGUCCUUCGGGACUAGUGGCGGACGGGUGAGUAACGCGUGGGAACGUGCCCUUUGGUACGGAAUAGCCCUGGGAAACUGGGAGUAAUACCGUAUGUGGUCGAGAGACGAAAGAUUUAUCGCCAAAGGAUCGGCCCGCGUUGGAUUAGGUAGUUGGUGGGGUAAUGGCCUACCAAGCCGACGAUCCAUAGCUGGUUUGAGAGGAUGAUCAGCCACACUGGGACUGAGACACGGCCCAGACUCCUACGGGAGGCAGCAGUGGGGAAUCUUAGACAAUGGGGGCAACCCUGAUCUAGCCAUGCCGCGUGAUCGAUGAAGGCCUUAGGGUUGUAAAGAUCUUUCAGAUGGGAAGAUAAUGACGGUACCAUCAGAUGAGCCCC
rnacentral:rRNA from 1 species